rnacentral:ncRNA from 1 species
CCUUAUCAAGAGUGGCGGAGGAACAGGUCCUGAGAAGCCCGGCAACCAUCGCAUUUUGCGGAAAGGUGCCAAUUCCUGCGGUUCAUGCUUUGUGGCAUUUACCGAGAGAUGAG